GACGGAGGAUGCAAGUGUUAUCCGGAAUCACUGGGCGUAAAAGCGUCUGUAGGUGGUUUAAUAAGUCAACUGUUAAAUCUUGAGGCUCAACCUCAAAAAUCGCAGUCGAAACUAUUAGGCUAGAGUAUAGUAGGGGUAAAGGGAAUUUCCAGUGGAGCGGUGAAAUGCGUAGAGAUUGGGAAAGAACACCGAUGGCGAAGGCACUUUACUGGGCUAUUACUAACACUCAGAGACGAAAGCUAGGGUAGCAAAUGGG
rnacentral:rRNA from 1 species